GCAGAUUCUCACCCUCCAAUGUGUAAAUCCAUUUAGCUGUAAUUUCUGGCUGCCUCAGCUAGAGUUAAGUCCCUGACAAGUUAAAAGGAUGCCUCACAGGUAGGAGUUGAUUCCUGGUUUGGCCUGGUUAUCAAAGGGCACCCAGACACCAAGACAAAGGGGUGAGGACCAAGAAUGAGAACAAAAUGAGAACACUUGGCAGAGGAGGGCAUGGAGGAGUUGGAGGAGUGGAAGCCAAGGAAAGUGAUGGAAAUUGAAGAGCAUAGCAAUAUUGAAUAACACAUCCUCAUGGAAUAAGCACCAGCCACACUGCAGUCUACCAAUAUGCCUUGCACACUUGCACAAAUGCUGCCAGAGUGACAUCCCUGCUGGGUCGACUGAAUACCAUCUCAUUUCUCACUUACACAAUCAAUGAUUCCUUCUCUUCUUCCCUUCUGCAUGGACACUUUGCUGAACAUAGUUUUGUUUUUGCUGGCCUGACUAGAAAAAAAAAAAAAAGACUUGUUUAGGUAAGAUGCUUAAUUAACCAAUGAAUAGUGCUCUCUUGUUCCUUUCAAGCUGUCUCCCGCAUUUUAAAUUUACUGGACAAUGCUAGUAAACUCAAAUGGGACCUAAUGGUUUUCCUUGGGGAUAGAGAAAGUUAGAAAAUUGCUAAGUAAACACAGCAUAGUGAAGACAAAGCAAUGCCAAAUUCAAAUCUUAAUGAUACCACACACAUUACACAGGUAGUAAAGGAGAGGAUGUCAACAACGUUUGCUUUUUCAUACACAUUAAAAUUUUUAAGAGCUAACUGUUCCAGGAGCAACCAUGUCAAAUCUUUUUAUGCACAAAAUGAUUGAAAAAUGAAACAUAAAAAUAUUUUCUUAUUUGUAUUAAAGAUUCCAGCCUCUCAGACACAUAAUCUGAAGGUUUUUUUUUUUACUUCUUUUUAAUCAGAAUUUUCUUCUUGAAUCCGGAAGUCAAUCCUCCAUUCAUAAUUUUAAAACUUUUUGAAUUAUAUGCUUUAGCCUUUCUAAAUCUGAUUUUUAUUUCAUAGGAAGGAGGAGAAACCUAUUACAAGUGGGCAUUGUGAUUUUAUAAUCUUAGGGUACAUUAUUUUCUCCAAGUAUGUCCACCUGCCUUUAACAAAUAUAUUUAUUUCAUCCUUAUUGACUCUUUAUUAUUAGUUCUGUCUUUGGAUAAGAGUCUGUUCUUUUCCAGGGAACAUGUCCUCAUUUUUUUUCUUUGUUAAGGCAUUUUCUUUUGUAGUAGCUGGCAAUUUGUGACUUCACCACACACUUGGCAGAUAUCCUUAUUCCUCGUAAUGAUCACAUCAACAUCAGCAAUGAAUAUCAAUGAUAAUGAUGUCCCUCUUCAGGCUCUUUCCUAGGCUGAUGCAUCUGGCCUCCUUGAAUGGCAUUCAUUAGAACCAGGCACCAAGAUAAUAAUACACCGAAGCCAGUGAUGCCAGCCUUUCUCUCUUUGACCAAUUACCUCCUGGACCUUGUUCAAAUGGAAACCAAACCACCCUGAAUAACUUUACUCAUUUGUAGAAGUUAGGAAAAUACAUGAGAAGCUACAAAUAAAACCUCAGAGUUCUUUUUUUGGACGUUAUAAAGAGAUGUUCAUUCUAACUAUAUAAUAUCAGCAUUUUCUUAUGCCAUUAUUUGUCAGCACUGCAGAGCAGAGAAUGAGUUUUAUACAGAUAUUCAAAGUGAUAGUGUAUAAAGUAUUGAAAGUUUAGGGCAUAUAUUUAUAUCCUCAACUGUAGGAUAACCUGAUGGUCAUUAAAUUAAAGUCUAGGGCUAUAGUAAUAUUGGAUUAAGAGAGAUUUCUGAACUGUUAUAUCAAUCAAAGUUAUACGAAUUUGAUGAUUAGUGGCUAUAUCACUCAGACAAUUAUCACAAUAUAAUUCUGUAAUGAAUAACAAUAAAAAUAAAGCGUAGUAUUAUGAUACUCAUAUAGGAUGCCCGAUUAUUAUUUUUUCAGUACAACAUGGUAACUGGAAAAUAAACACAGUAAAGAAAUAGAGUUAUUAGCAACACUACAAAACCAGAUUGUGAAUGAGUCAAAAUGUCAGAGUGAUGAUAAGUGUUUGUGGAAAGCAGCUGGAGAUCCUAAUUAAAUCAUAGUUUACACACUUUGAUAGUACUGAUUUCUGACAUUGACAUGUAUACAAAACAUACCAUAUGGUUGCCAUUUUAUAGGCAUAUUUUUACAUAUAUGUUUGUAUGCAUAUAUAGAUAUACAUAUAAGCAUAGAUGUAGACCAAAACUCCUCAUAAAAAGCUUAGCACAACUUUAAAUAAUUUUACACCAACCAUAUAAUCUUUGUUAACUGAUAUUCUGCUAAUCAUAUCUUUCUUUUAAUUGGUGUUUCAGAACAUGUACAGUAACAUUAUGUUUAAUGAUAUUGUAGGAUAGCUUAACAAUUUAAAAAUGGAUUUUGGAGUUAUUGCUUAGAAACCAAAGAAAGGAAAUUAUUUGAGAACUACAAUAGGGUUUCACCAGAAUAUUCCAUUUUUAACAACACCAGGUAACAAGGAGUUAGUAUUUUUAUGUUAGUCAUACAUUUACUUAUGUUCACUGAUAUCUGCCUUUUAUCUCAAUUAACUUAUAAACUUCUCAAGGACAGGGCAUUUGUUAAAAAUAUUUGUUUCUAUGUCUGGUUAUGGUCUUUCAAUAUAGACUGAAGGUUCAUCUCAAAUGAUAAAUGUAACAUGAAAUCACCUCAUAGAUUGUGCUAAUUUAGAUACUAUUCUGUGUUAGCUGUGGUAGCUCAAUUAAGCUGUACACCCAGUGCCAUAGGCAACAGACAUCCAAGUGUUAGGUCUACCCAGAAGUAAAAGGAUCAGGAGCUACUCACAUAUUGGAGAAGAAUCUCAUCAACCAUGAGCUUGGCACACAUGAAUAAGUAAGUCAUUGUAAAACUUUGUUAAAAACGUUUUAAUUUUGUUCAAAUGUUUUAAGUGUUUAGAGAAAAAAAGUUUUGGUUCCUAAAGAGAACUACAAUAAAACAAA
rnacentral:lncRNA from 10 species